UACGAAGGGUGCAAGCGUUACUCGGAAUUACUGGGCGUAAAGCGUGCGUAGGCGGUUUGUUAAGUCCGUUGUGAAGCCCUGGGCUCAACCUGGGAAUUGCAGUGGAUACUGGCGAGCUAGAGUGCGGUAGAGGAUGGUGGAAUUCCCGGUGUAGCGGUGAAAUGCGUAGAGAUCGGGAGGAACACCCGUGGCGAAGGCGGCCAUCUGGACCAGCACUGACGCUGAG
rnacentral:rRNA from 1 species